rnacentral:RNase_P_RNA from 1 species
ACGUUCGGGUAAUCGCUGCAGCUAUAAGCUGUAGAGGAAAGUCCAUGCUCGCACGGUGCUGAGAUGCCCGUAGUGUUCGUGCCUAGCGAAGUCAUAAGCUAGGGCAGACGAAUAAUAGUAGUCUGACGGCAGGGAAAACACCUAAGUCCGUUUGGAUAUGGUGUGAAUACCUAUAAAGUGCCACAGUGACGUAGCCUUGAGAGAAAUCUGAAGGGUGGAACGAGGUAAACCCCGCGAGCGAGCAACUCAAAUUAUGGUAGAGGCACUCCUUUUCUUGGAAAUGAACGAGGAAGGAGACAAGCAAUGCUUGCUUGGAGAUAGAUGAUUACCACCGGAGUACAAGAUUAUACCAAUCGUUUGCAGUACAAAGGUACAAAACAUGGCUUAUAGAA